rnacentral:rRNA from 1 species
GACGAACGCUGGCGGCGUGCUUAACACAUGCAAGUCGAACGGAGAGGCCCUGCUUUUGUGGGGUGCUCGAGUGGCGAACGGGUGAGUAACACGUGAGUAACCUGCCCUUGACUUUGGGAUAACUUCAGGAAACUGGGGCUAAUACCGGAUAGGAGCUCCUGCUGCAUGGUGGGGGUUGGAAAGUUUCGGCGGUUGGGGAUGGACUCGCGGCUUAUCAGCUUGUUGGUGGGGUAGUGGCUUACCAAGGCUUUGACGGGUAGCCGGCCUGAGAGGGUGACCGGCCACAUUGGGACUGAGAUACGGCCCAGACUCCUACGGGAGGCAGCAGUGGGGAAUAUUGCACAAUGGGCGGAAGCCUGAUGCAGCAACGCCGCCUGCGGGAUGACGGCCUUCGGGUUGUAAACCGCUUUCGCCUGUGACGAAGCGUGAGUGACGGUAAUGGGUAAAGAAGCACCGGCUAACUACGUG